rnacentral:rRNA from 1 species
GAUGAACGCUGGCGGCGUGCCUAAUACAUGCAAGUCGAGCGAACGGACGAGAAGCUUGCUUCUCUGAUGUUAGCGGCGGACGGGUGAGUAACACGUGGAUAACCUACCUAUAAGACUGGGAUAACUUCGGGAAACCGUAGCUAAUACCGGAUAAUAUUUUGAACCGCAUGGUUCAAAAGUGAAAGACGGUCUUGCUGUCACUUAUAGAUGGAUCCGCGCUGCAUUAGCUAGUUGGUAAGGUAACGGCUUACCAAGGCAACGAUGCAUAGCCGACCUGAGAGGGUGAUCGGCCACACUGGAACUGAGACACGGUCCAGACUCCUACGGGAGGCAGCAGUAGGGAAUCUUCCGCAAUGGGCGAAAGCCUGACGGAGCAACGCCGCGUGAGUGAUGAAGGUCUUCGGCUCGUAAAACUCUGUUAUUAGGGAAGAACAUAUGUGUAAGUAACUGUGCACAUCUUGACGGUACCUAAUCAGAAAGCCACGGCUAACUACGU